rnacentral:rRNA from 3 species
AGGUAGAUAGGUUGGGGGUGGAAGUGCAGUAAUGCAUGGAGCUGACCAAUACUAAUCGGUCGAGGGCUUAUCCUAAAA